UCUAGCAUGAAGUCAGACAAGUG
rnacentral:rRNA from 1 species